rfam:Caenorhabditis briggsae complete genome, chrII
CUGAGUUCGUCUACCCUGUAGAUCGAGCUGUGUGUUCUGAAGUAUCAUACACGAGCUAGACUACUAGGUGAACGAUGGAAUGG